rnacentral:rRNA from 1 species
AACGAACGCUGGCGGCAUGCCUAACACAUGCAAGUCGAACGAGACCUCCGGGUCUAGUGGCGCUCGGGUGCGUAACGCGUCGGAACCUGCCCUUAUGUUUGGAAUAACUCUCCGAAAUGGGUGCUAAUACCGGAUAAUGUCUUCUGACCAAAGAUUUAUCGCCUUUGGAUGGGCCCGCGUUGGAUUAGCCUGUUGUUAGGGUAAAAGCCUACCAAGGGGACGAUCCAUAGCUGGUAAGAGAGGAUGAUCAGCGACACUGAGGCGGAGACACGGCAGAGACUACUACGGAAGGGAGGAGAGGGGAAUAUAGGACAAUGGGGGAAAGCAUGAACCAGCAAGGCCGGGUGAGUGAUGAAGGCCUUAGGGUAGUAAAGCACUUUUACCCGGGAUGAUAAUGACAGUACCGAGAGAAUAAGCUCCGGCUAACUCCGUG